AAGUCGUAACAAGGUUUCCGUAGGUGAACCUGCGGAAGGAUCAUUAAAAGUAAUAUGUAUUCUGACGAAUAUACAUUAUAAACCCAUCUGUGUAUCUUACCCGUUGCUUCCGCGAGGCAGUGAUCUCGGUCACCUCCGAACGAUGGCGAAAGCCCAUCCGACGGGGAGCACUCGCGGGAGGUAUACAUCAAACUCUUGCAUUUUUAUGUCAUCUGUCUGAACUGUUUAUAACAAAUGUUAAAACUUUCAACAACGGAUCUCUUGGUUCUC
rnacentral:misc_RNA from 1 species